AACUAAGCAACUGAACGAAAUACUCCAAGUGAAAAUGUCAUUGUGACUUUUGCUCUUUUUUUCCACACUUUUCCUACUCCGUGGGUUGUGUUUGUUGCAAAUUGUGUUAGUGAUAUGUAUCAGUUGAACAAUUGCAAAAUGUUCUAUCGCAUUUUUCAUUUCAUCGAAAUGAUGAUUUUUGGCUUUUUUAACACCGUUGUUUCCCUCACCAACAACACGACUGUCAAAGCCAUGGGUGUUGUCGCAGCUUGUGUUAUUUUUGAAAUUAUGAUGUACGUGAUUUUGGGACUGACUUGCGUUUUCAUUUCCUUGAUUAUCCAAAUUCAUGACAUUGUUGAACUUAAGCCUGAGAAAUAUCUCGAAGACGACACUCAAGUAGUAACAAAAUGUGAAAUAAAACAACACUAAAAAUAAAGAAUGUGUCCGAUAUGUUUGUUUAGCUGUACCUAAGUGUUUGUGGAAAUAAUUAGUGAAACUGUACUGUUUUCUUUAAUUGCGUUUGUGUCUCCAAGUCGGGAGAAUAAUUGUUUUUAAACUCGAAAUUCCGUCUCAUUAGACCUAACUCAAGUUUGAUGUUUCCUCAGUUUCUAAUCCCAAACGAUUACAGAUUUUACUUCAUUUUUUAAUUAAAAGGUAGGGUCGGUUAUUUGCAUUCAGACCAAGAAUUGUCUGAUUCAUAAACUAUUAGCGAACCAACAAAAUUGAUCGAGUAACACCGUAAUGUCCUCUAAUUAAUUCUGCUAACAAUAAAAUGAAACCACCAUGAAUAACAGUUAUCAGAAUGUGUUACGGGUUAUUAUUAUCGUGGAAGUUUUCCUAACCCAUCUUAAAUAAAUCACAAAUUCUUCCCGCAGACUAAAAAAUAAGUGCUAAAAAUAGCCUCUUCUUGUCAAGACUAAAUAACGAAAGGUGGCAAUAACUUAAAUCAAUAAAAAUGUGUAAGUGCUUUUCUGGAAAAAAAUCGAGUAACUACAUUCUUAAAAUUCUCAAAACAUCAUUUGAAAAGAAUAUAAAAUGCUGUCACCAACAACCUGCAUCAGUUUGGCAAUCGAGUGCAUCACAGACAGAUCAAAGACAAUUCAAGCAAUAUGAAGAUAUUUACGGUGGGACAGAUAAUAACAUUUGUUGUAUUGUUCGUCCUGGUAAUUCCAUCACAGUCGAAGUCUAUUGCACCAAAAACGAAAGACGAAUUAGAAACAACAACAACAACACCACAUAAAGAAUUAGUUUUAAUAAUUCAAGAACCUAAAGAGAAAAAAGACGAUGGAGAGAUUAUGGAAACUGCAAAUGCGAUUGUUUUUAGACCGCUUUUUGCUUAUCGAAGAAUGCAGAGUCAAAGAAGGAGAGUUUAUGUUCCUAGGAGAAGACCUAGCUACUACUACUACUAAAUACUUUUUUUUACCUUAAAUUAUUAACUUAUUUGUAUUUAUUUUUUUAUACUCACUAUACCUCUCUACAAUAAUUUAUAAAUAAAGUUGUUAUGUCUAA